UCCAUGUCUUAAAAGAAGUAACAGCUUUCAAGUGCCUUUGCAGUUUUUCCAUGAGCGCAAGAUUACUA
rfam:Pelecanus crispus contig92359, whole genome shotgun sequence.